GAGUUUGAUCUUGGCUCAGAUUGAACGCUGGCGGCAGGCCUAACACAUGCAAGUCGGGCGGUAGAGAGAAGCUUGCUUCUCUUGAGAGCGGCGGACGGGUGAGUAAUGCCUAGGAAUCUGCCUGGUAGUGGGGGAUAACGCUCGGAAACGGACGCUAAUACCGCAUACGUCCUACGGGAGAAAGCAGGGGACCUUCGGGCCUUGCGCUAUCAGAUGAGCCUAGGUCGGAUUAGCUAGUUGGUGAGGUAAUGGCUCACCAAGGCGACGAUCCGUAACUGGUCUGAGAGGAUGAUCAGUCACACUGGAACUGAGACACGGUCCAGACUCCUACGGGAGGCAGCAGUGGGGAAUAUUGGACAAUGGGCGAAAGCCUGAUCCAGCCAUGCCGCGUGUGUGAAGAAGGUCUUCGGAUUGUAAAGCACUUUAAGUUGGGAGGAAGGGCAGUAAAUUAAUACUUUGCUGUUUUGACGUUUACCGACAGAAUAAGCACCGGCUAACUCUGUGCCAGCCGCCGACCG
rnacentral:rRNA from 1 species